rnacentral:tRNA from 1 species
GGGCAUGUGGCGGAAUUGGUAGACGCGGCAGACUCAAAAUCUGUUGGUAGAAAUACCGUGUCGGUUCGAUUCCGACCUUGCCCACCA